AGGUAGUAAUAUUUAAUUAAACCUAUUUAUAAUGGCGGCAUUUCAUCUAAUUAGAGGAACUUGUCAUUUAAUCGAUAAUCCCCGUUUAAUUUUACUUUAUUCUAAAAUUUAUAUACCGCCAUCAAAAGAAUUUUUUUUUAAAUUUAUUCAAAACAAUAUUUAAAAUGUUAGGUCAAGGUGUAAUCUAUAAUAAAGCAUAAGAUGAGUUACCUUUAAAAACAUUAAAGGAUUAUUUUUUUAAAAAAAAAUAAGAAAAAGGAUUUAUUAGUAAAUUUAAAUUAUUUAUUUUUAUUGAAAUAGAUAAUAAAUGUGC
rnacentral:rRNA from 1 species